rnacentral:lncRNA from 1 species
AAUCGAAUUAAAUUAAUUUUGUCAAUUAAUUCAAUUAAAACCGAAUUAUAAACACAUUUUUGUAUUAUGGAGUUUUGAUUUGAUUUAUAAAAAUUUUUUAAAACAAUCUCCCUAACUUAAAAUAAAAGCCGGUACCUAUCCAACUACAAUAUAAUGUCACAAUUUGAGCGUCUAUUAUCUUGUAGCUCCGCUUACUGCAACUUGGAUUCUGACUUAAACUAAUCAGGAGGUGGGCUUAUCUUAUAGUGUUCGCUUUGAAUCAAUCUAACUAUCCUCGUGCUCUCUUUUCUAAUAAUCAAUAGUAUAGUGCUCGCUUUGAGAAAAAGUCUACCCUUCUGCUAUUGCCUUUCCUUCUUCACCGUUUGAAAAGCAGUGGAUUGGCGCACGUCUUCCUAUGAAAUCGAUUCUCUUUCUCUAUCAAGCCUCUUUCCUUACUCUUCAAAGUAUGAUUUGGAUACUUAAAAGUUAACAGCUUCAAAUUCAGAAAAGAUAAUGUAUAUACAAAAACAAACAAACAACCACAAUUACUUGUCGCUGGGCAAUGCAACAAAAAGUUAAGAUAUCCAAAACACCCUAAAGACCGAUGUGCCCAAACCAUGUGCUCUUUUUUAGACUAUGGAAGCCGUAAUUACAGCAACUACUUGAUGUGAAUAUUAACAGCUUCAAGCUUCAAAUUCAAAAUAGAUCAUGCAUGUACAAAGACAAACAAACAACCACAAUUACUUCUCAGUUAACAAAUCCAAAACAUCCUGAAGACCGAUGUGCCCAAACCAUGUGCUCUUGUUUAGACUAUGGAAGCCUUACAGCAACUACUUGAUGCGAAUAUUGUCCUUUAACCUAUUAAUUCCAAAGAGAAAUUCUUACAUAGAAAUAAAAAUACUGUUGUUAUUGAAAGAGGAUUCUGCUUGGCAUGCAGCCAAUUCUGGCAACAUUUGUCCAGAAAAAUUGUCAACCCAAGCCUUAAGCCUCAAAAUUAUCAAGGCUUAUCAAUCCUCAUGCAAGACAAUAAUAAGGAUGCCACAUGAUACAAAAAAAUCAAAUUAAGAUGUCUCACCAACUUAAAAAUUAUUGAAAAAGGGAAAAAAAUACUUUUGGCAUACAGCAUAUUACACAAGCUAGAAUUUUGAAUAGUAUUACAGAGGCUACAUGGUUUACAGAACAUUGUUGAUGAUCUUGUAAUCAAGGGGCUUAGUGUAAAUUGAGGUUUGGGAGAUCACAUAUUUGAUCAAUUGGUGUUUGUUUGUUUGUUCAGUCCCUAGCAUUGUGUUCUUGUAGUAGGAUAAUUCCUGCUCUUUUCGGACAAAUAAGUAAUCAUACCUAUCCAAAAAAAAAGGUAUAAAUAUAAAGGAAAAUAAUUGAACUUUUCACAUUUCAUGUAUCUAAUUACAACUAAUAAUUAGCCUUGAUCCCCUAGAUUUAAUGCAAUAUAUCAAAUCUCAAAGCAAAUAACAAUAUAUAUAGCUUUUCAUCCUAUUGUUGCUCUUGCAUCCUUGAAUCAUAUCUAAUUAAUUUUACAUUCAAACAACUAGAAAAAAAAAAAAAAGCAGUUUUAAUAUCCUUUUUAUUUUCCAUCUACCUAAAAGAAUAACCUACUUUCGCAAAGACAGCUACCCUCACUCCCAAAAAUACGUCAUUUAUAUGUACAUGAUUAAAAAUUAAAUUAAGCUUGUUUAACUACCAAAACUACGUCAUUUAACUACCAAAAAUACCAAUUUGUACAACUUGUUUCAACAAAGAUAUUUUUCAAGUUAAUUCUUUCAAAGCCAAAUGUCUUUCUCAAACAUCAUUUCUUAAUAUUUUCUUGUCAACUUAUCCAAUUUUAGAAAAUGAUUGUCUAACUGUAGCAAAUACCAAAAGUAAAGUUUUUGCUAGAAAUCCGUUUAAUAAAGCAUUUCUCUUCCCUAAGAAUUUAUUAUAAAAAUUGAAAGUUUGAAUUUUAGAUAUGAUAUUUUUACCUUAAUAGUACAUACCAAUUUUCACAAAAAUAAUGUUUAUAUUUUCAAUGGAAUUAAUACAUAUACGAUAAGAAUAUUGAAGAUCUAUUUGGUAUAGUUUUCAUUGACAAUUCUCGUGAAACCAAAUUCGCAUAAUCAUUAUUAUUUUUUUUUGUCACACAUGUAAUAUAUAUGCACAAAAAAAUAUUAAACCUAAUUGCAAGUAACUUUUUUUUCAAUUAAUUGCCCCAAUUAUACUUUGAUUAUAUCAAAAUCAACAAGUCAAAUAAUAAAACUAUACCUUGACAUACCUUGACAGAAGAGAUGAGUUCCAACCCAACUGAAGGACCGAUAAUCAAGGGCAAGGCACUGGUGCAGGUCACGGGCUCAAGGCACUGGUGCAGUCAUGGGUCAAAGGUUGGCAAAGAGAGGGUGGCAUAGGCACGGAUUGGUGACGAAGAAUGGAGAGAGGAGAGGAGAAAGGGGAGAAGAGAGGCACAGGCUCAUAGCGAUAGUGAAGAGAAGGCAGCAGGAGCACAGGCCAACGACGAAAAGAGAAGAGGAAAGAGAAAAUGAG